rnacentral:rRNA from 1 species
GAUGAACGCUAGCGGCAGGCCUAACACAUGCAAGUCGAGGGGUAACAGGGAGUGCUUGCACUCCGCUGACGACCGGCGCACGGGUGCGCACCGCGUAUGGAACCUGCCUCUUGCAGGGGAAUAGCCCAGGGAAACUUGGAUUAAUGCCCCAUAGUACCCUUUCACGGCAUUGUGAGAGGGUUAAAGCCUUCGGGCGGCAAGAGAUGGCCAUGCGUCCCAUUAGCUUGAUGGUAAGGUAACGGCUUACCAUGGCUACGAUGGGUAGGGGCCCUGAGAGGGGGAUCCCCCACACUGGUACUGAGACACGGACCAG